AUAUUUGGUAGGAUUUCGAGGACAAGCUACACCCAGGAGGUCCAUUUGAUCCUCUAGGCCUUGCUAAGGACCCUGAGCAAGGAGCUCUUCUCAAAGUCAAAGAGAUCAAGAACGGGAGAUUAGCCAUGUUUGCGAUGCUCGGUUUCUUUAUCCAAGCGUAUGUUACCGGAGAAGGUCCUGUUGAGAACCUUGCAAAGCAUCUCAGUGAUCCUUUUGGAAACAACUUGCUUACCGUCAUCGCUGGAACUGCCGAGAGAGCUCCCACUCUCUAAGCCAUUUCUACUUUUUUUAAGAGCUUCCAAAAUGUACACUUUGUUCGAUUGGAACUCCUUUUGACAAUGUUAAAAAAACUUCCAUCUGAAUCUUCUUGAUAUAUUUCAAAUUUUCAAU
rnacentral:sRNA from 1 species